ensembl:lncRNA LINC00578 long intergenic non-protein coding RNA 578
GGCUGUGGUCUCGGUGUAGCACGAUGGAAUCUGGUGGCUUAAACCUAGCUGUCCACAUUUCACUAUCUGAAGAGCAGAAAAUGUGUUAAUAGGAGCCUGGUGAGUGGAGGAGACUGAAGAUGGAGAGAGAGCCUGGACCUCAACAUGAGCAUCUGGAGCCAUUUGGCAGCAUUAGGCUGUGACCGCUUAGAGAACCGAAAGGUGCAGAGCUUUAAAGGAUUAUGGAGUCUGAAGACCAAAUGGGAUGAUGGAGAACAGCUAUUCAGUGGUACAAAUGUAAAUGCUCCCAGGCCCGGGCAGGCUGGAGUGCAGUGGCGCCAUCUUUGCUCACUGCAACCUUUACCUCCUGGGUUCAAGCAAUCCUCCCACCGCAGCCUCCAUAGUAGCUGGGACUACAGGAGUCUGCCACCAUGACUGGGUAAUUUUUUUGUAUUUUUAUUAGAGAUGGGCUUUCACCAUAUUGGCCAGACUGGUCUCGAAUUCCUGACCUCAGGUGACCUGCCCGCCUCAGCCUCCCAAAAUGUUGGGAUUACAGGCAUAAGCCACUGGACCCAGCCUUGUUUGUUUAAUGGGACAACAGGAAAAUCCUCAUCAUGAGCUCUUGCCACCCCUACCCUGAACAGAGAUCCAGUUGCCCUGUGACUACAGUAAGGAAGAGGUUAGAAGAUGAGAUGAUCAUGACAAAUAAUAACCAUAAAAUCAUUUCCCUUCUCUUUUCUAGAACACAUUACAACUAGCAAAAUAUUUUUAAAUUCGUGGCCUCAUUUGAUCCUGUCAGCAUAGCUAUUUUUGCUCUUUCCUGUCUAAAGGAAACCCUUUAGUAUGGGUUCAUAGAAACACAGUCCUGUAGAAUUGGAAGAUACCAGAUAAAUUAUUUUUUUCUUUAAAGUCUUAACAUUACAGAGAGAAAUUCUUAGCCCAGAGGCCAUGGAAUUAAUGAAAUUCUUUUUUUACAAAUGAGGAAGCCGAGGCCAGGAAAAUUUUGGUAACUUGAUCAGUCACAGAAAUGGAUUCCUGGUUGCCUGAUUCUCAAUGUACUGUUCGUCCCAUGCUUCCACCUGCCUUCAGACAUAGAGUCAGGUUAGGGCCCAGCGUGAUGGCUCAUGCCUGUAAUCCCAGCAUCCUGGAUAGGCCGAGGUGGGCGGAUCACCUGAGGCGGGGAGAUCGAGACCAGCCUCACCAACAUGAAGAAACCCUGUCUCUACUAAAAAUACAAAAUCAGCCAGGCAGGGUGGCGCAUGCCUGUAAUUCCAGCUAUUUGGGAGGCUGAGACAAUAGAAUCACUUGAACCCGGGAGGCAGAGGUUGUGGUGAGCCAAGAUCACACCAUUGCACUCCAGCCUGGGCAACAAAAGUGGAAACUCUGUCUCAAAAAAAAAAAAAAAAAA